CUUAGCUCAGUCGGUAGAGCGCACGGCUGUUAACCGUUAGGUCGUAGGUUCGAGUCCUACAGG
rnacentral:tRNA from 1 species